rnacentral:rRNA from 1 species
GUUAAUGCAUGCAAGUCGAGCGAUGAGGCCCCUUCGGGGGUACAUCAGCGGCAGACGGGUGAGUAACACGUAGGUGACGUACCCCCAAGAUGGGGAUAACUGUUGGAAACAGCAGCUAAUACCCGAUGACCUUACUGGGUCAAAGCAGUAAGGAAAGCUCCGGUGCUUGGGGAGCGGCCUGCGGCCCAUCAGCUAGUUGGUAGGGUGACGGCUUACCAAGGCAAAGACGGGUAGGGGGUGUGAGAGCAUGACCCCCCACAAUGGGACUGAGACACGGCCCAUACUCCUACGGGAGGCAGCAGCAGGGAAUCUUGCACAAUGGCCGAAAGGCUGAUGCAGCGACGCCGCGUGAGUGAAGACGGCCUUCGGGUUGUAAAACUCUUUUCAGGGGGAAGAGCGAGGACGGUACCCUUGGAGUAAGCGUCGGCUAACUACGUGCCAGCAGCCGCGGUAAGACGUAGGACGCAAGCGUUAUCCGGAUUUACUGGGCGUAAAGCGUCUGUAGGCGGGGGUGUAAGUUGGGCGUGAAAGCUCCGGGCUCAACCCGGAGAGGCCGCACAAUACUGCACGCCUAGAGGGGGUCAGAGGAGCAUGGAAUUUCCGGUGUAGCGGUAGAAUGCGCAGAUAUCGGAAGGAACACCAGUGGCGAAGGCGGUGCUCUGGGGCCAACCUGACGCCGAGAGACGAGAGCUAGGGGAGCGAACAGGAUUAGAGACCCUGGUAGUCCUAGCCCUAAACGCUGAAUGCUAGGUGUGGGGGCGUAAAGCUUCUGUGCCGCAGCUAACGCGAUAAGCAUUCCGCCUGGGGAGUACGGCCGCAAGGUUAAAACUCAAACGAAUUGACGGGACCCCGCACAAGCAGCGGAGCGUGUGGUUUAAUUCGAUUUACACGAAGAACCUUACCUGGGUUUGAUAUACAGGUGGUAGUGAGCCGAAAGGUGAGCGACCCUUCGGGGAGCCUGUACAGGUGCUGCAUGGCUGUCGUCAGCUCGUGCCGUGAGGUGUCGGGUUAAGUCCCGUAACGAGCGCAACCCUUGCCCUUAGUUAUACGUGUCUAGGGGGGCUGCCGGCGGGAAGCCGGAGGAAGGUGGGGAUGACGUCAAGUCAGCAUGGCCCUUAUGUCCAGGGCUACACACACGCUACAAUGGGCGGUACAGAGGGGAGCGAGGCCGCGAGGCGGAGCGAAUCUCACAAAGCCGUUCGUAGUUCGGAUAGCAGGCUGCAACUCGCCUGCUUGAAGCUGGAGUUGCUAGUAACCGCGCGUCAGCUAUAGUGCGGUGAAUACGUUCCCGGGGUUUAUACACACCGCCCGUCACGUCAUGGGAGUUGGUAACGCCUGAAGCCGGUAGCCUAACGCGGAAGCGGGGGCGCUGUCGAAGGCGGGACUGGCGACUGGGACGAAGUCGUAACAAGGUA